UCCUACGGGAGGCAGCAGUGAGGAAUAUUGGUCAAUGGGCGAGAGCCUGAACCAGCCAAGUCGCGUGAAGGAUGACGGCCCUACGGGUUGUAAACUUCUUUUGUCAGGGAGCAAUUGAGUCCACGUGUGGGCUUAGCGAGAGUACCUGAAGAAAAAGCAUCGGCUAACUCCGUGCCAGCAGCCGCGGUAAUACGGAGGAUGCGAGCGUUAUCCGGAUUUAUUGGGUUUAAAGGGUGCGCAGGCGGCGAGUUAAGUCAGCGGUAAAAUUUCGGGGCUCAACCCCGACGAGCCGUUGAAACUGGCUU
rnacentral:rRNA from 1 species